rnacentral:rRNA from 1 species
AUGGGCGGGAGCCUGAUCCAGCCAUGCCGCGUGCAGGAUGACGGCCCUAUGGGUUGUAAACAGCUUUUAUACGGGAAGAAAUGCGCCCACGUGUGGGCGUCUGACGGUACCGUAAGAAUAAGGACCGGCUAACUCCGUGCCAGCAGCCGCGGUAAUACGGAGGGUCCGAGCGUUAUCCGGAAUCAUUGGGUUUAAAGGGUCCGUAGGCGGGCCUGUAAGUCAGGGGUGAAAGUUUGUGGCUCAACCAUAAAAUUGCCUUUGAUACUGCAGGUCUUGAGUCAUGGUGGGGUCGCCGGAACAUGUGGUGUAGCGGUGAAAUGCAUAGAUAUCACAUAGAACACCGAUCGCGAAGGCAGGUGGCCAACCAUGUACUGACGCUGAUGGACGAAAGCGUGGGUAGCGAACGGGAUUAGAUACCCCGGUAGUCCACGCCGUAAACGAUGGAUACUAGCUGUGGGGACUUCGGUCUCCGUGGCCAAGCGAAAGUGAUAAGUAUCCCACCUGGGGAGUACGUUCGCAAGAAUGAAACUCAAAGGAAUUGACGGGGGCCCGCACAAGCGGUGGAGCAUGUGGUUUAAUUCGAUGAUACGCGAGGAACCUUACCAGGGCUUAAAUGCAGGCUGCAUGGGGUAGAGAUACCCCUUUCUUCGGACCGCCUGCAAGGUGCUGCAUGGUUGUCGUCAGCUCGUGCCGUGAGGUGUCAGGUUAAGUCCUAUAACGAGCGCAACCCCUACCGUUAGUUGCCAGCAUGUCAAGAUGGGGACUCUAACGGGACUGCCGGUGCAAACCGUGAGGAAGGUGGGGACGACGUCAAAUCAUCACGGCCCUUACGUCCUGGGCUACACACGUGCUACAAUGGCCGGUACAGAGGGAAGCCACCCCGCAAGGGGGCGCGGAUCUACAAAACCGGUCACAGUUCGGAUCGGGGUCUGCAACUCGACCCCGUGAAGCUGGAAUCGCUAGUAAUCGGAUAUCAGCCAUGAUCCGGUGAAUACGUUCCCGGGCCUUGUACACACCGCCCGUCAAGCCAUGGAAGCCGGGAGUGCCUGAAGUCCGUCACCGCAAGGAGCGGCCUAGGGCAAAAUCGGUAACUAGGGCUAAGUCGUAACAAGGUAGCCGUACCGGAAGGUGCGGCUGGAACACCUCCUUUCU